AGCUUGGGGACCAUACCGGGGGUGAAACCUGCCUUCCCAUUCCGAACAGGACCAGGCUCCCCCCCCCAGGGCCGAUGGUACUGCGUCCGCACGGGCGUGGGAGAGUAGGUCGUCCCCAGGCUU
rnacentral:rRNA from 1 species